rnacentral:rRNA from 1 species
UACGUAGGUGACAAGCGUUGUCCGGAUUUACUGGGCGUAAAGAGCGCGCAGGCGGUCGUUCAAGUCGAGUGUGAAAGCCCCCGGCUCAACUGGGGAGGGUCAUUCGAUACUGAUCGACUCGAAGGCAGGAGAGGGUAGUGGAAUUCCCGGUGUAGUGGUGAAAUGCGUAGAUAUCGGGAGGAACACCAGUGGCGAAGGCGACUACCUGGCCUGUUCUGACGCUGAGGCGCGAAAGCUA